GAUGAACGCUAGCGGCAGGCCUAACACAUGCAAGUCGAGGGGUAGAGGAAGCUUGCUUCCUUGAGACCGGCGCACGGGUGCGUAACGCGUAUGCAAUCUGCCUUGUACUGAGGGAUAGCCCAGAGAAAUUUGGAUUAAUACCUCAUAGCAUUAUGAAAUCGCAUGGUUUUAUAAUUAAAGUUCCAACGGUACAAGAUGAGCAUGCGUCCCAUUAGUUAGUUGGUAAGGUAACGGCUUACCAAGACGAUGAUGGGUAGGGGUCCUGAGAGGGAGAUCCCCCACACUGGUACUGAGACACGGACCAGACUCCUACGGGAGGCAGCAGUGAGGAAUAUUGGUCAAUGGACGCAAGUCUGAACCAGCCAUGCCGCGUGCAGGAUGAAGCAUCUAUGGUGUGUAAACUGCUUUUGUACGGGAAGAAACACUCCUACGUGUAGGAGCUUGACGGUACCGUAGGAAUAAGGAUCGGCUAACUCCGUGCCAGCCGCCGCGGUAAAAC
rnacentral:rRNA from 1 species